CCGCCUAAAUGUGUGAAAGCAUUUUGGUACAUAGAGAUUUGUAAUUUGUAAUAUAAUUAAUGCAAAAUAAAGGUCAGUAAAAACCUCCCGCCCAUAGUAACGGCGUCGUUUGGCAGGGUUCAAACAUUAAUUACUUUUUGUGUUAAAAACGUGUUAACUUAACAGUUACCAAUAAAAAAUUUAAAUGGUUCAUAUGGCCGAAAUAAUUAGUGGUCAGCUAUUAAAUAUGAUGAUGUUUAAUUGGCUGCUUGACCUUUCCAAUAUUAACGAUUGGUUUAACGAGGUCAUCGUAAAUCUACAUAUCAACGAUUAGUAUACAAGCACUUCCGAAAUCUACUUAUAAAUACAUCUCUUUGUAUUGGCGAAAAAGACUUCAACUAUACUACAUCAUAUUGCUUCCGAAAAACACAGAAAAACUGCAAAAUAAACACUACAGUUUUAAUGCAUCUCUAUACAUUCUUGGCGGUGACAUCUCUCCAAUGAAUACAAGAAGAGCAAUAUGGGUCCGCAUUCUGGGUACAUAUGAAAUCCUGGAACGAAGAGGGAGUAAGAGGGAGUGAAGCCAAUGUAAAGAAGUAGAAGAUCAAGAGGAGAAAAAUCAUGGAAAAGGUAGACAUAAUCUCACCUGACAUGACUAAACACCUACAUGUAGAGAUAGUGGACUGCAGAAUUUCUUGACCAUACAUCUAGACUGGAGACCAGUGGAUUUGGGGAUCGGAGCAAUUUGAUGAGAUGAAGCAGGAAGUCAAAUUGCUAUCCAUACUUCUAGGUCGGAACUCAGUAGAUGCGGAGUUGUAAGAAGAAGUGAUUUCCAACUUACUUAUUUUGGCAGAUUU